rnacentral:rRNA from 1 species
GCUGCCCUCUUUCUUCGUGCCUAAUACAUGCAAGUCGAGCGAACAGACGAGGAGCUUGCUCCUCUGACGUUAGCGGCGGACGGGUGAGUAACACGUGGAUAACCUACCUAUAAGACUGGGAUAACUUCGGGAAACCGGAGCUAAUACCGGAUAAUAUAUUGAACCGCAUGGUUCAAUAGUGAAAGACGGUUUUGCUGUCACUUAUAGAUGGAUCCGCGCCGCAUUAGCUAGUUGGUAAGGUAACGGCUUACCAAGGCAACGAUGCGUAGCCGACCUGAGAGGGUGAUCGGCCACACUGGAACUGAGACACGGUCCAGACUCCUACGGGAGGCAGCAGUAGGGAAUCUUCCGCAAUGGGCGAAAGCCUGACGGAGCAACGCCGCGUGAGUGAUGAAGGUCUUCGGAUCGUAAAACUCUGUUAUUAGGGAAGAACAAAUGUGUAAGUAACUAUGCACGUCUUGACGGUACCUAAUCAGAAAGCCACGGCUAACUACGUG